GGCGGGGCCGCCUCGGGCGCUGCGGAGGGAGCCCCGCGCUCGUCUAUGGCCAAGUUCCUGGCGGAGCUCCUGGGCAGCGCGCUGCCGGCCAAGGGCGCCUCUCCCGCGCCGGAGCCAACAGACGCCCGACCUUGAUUUCUUAGAGUAAGUGGCUCUCCCCAUUGCUGGUCUGAGGGCAGCUUAAGAAAUAGAGAUACACCACGACAGUUAAGAAAAGGAGUGACUGUUUUGUCUUUGAAGAGCUCCUGGGAAAGGGAAUUCCUUCAGCCCCUCCCUCGUGACUCUGCGUGUCUUGCUUUGUGUCAUUUUCUACCCAUGUGGGGGCAGGAGCCUCCGAAGUCUCUGUUCUCUCCUUUCUAAAGAUGACUGAUUCGGCGUUGCUGAACCCCCACCAGAAGACAGAACUUGGCCCCGCAGCAGGAUCAUCACAUACUAUUUCCGAGAGCAGAGCUCAGAGAAGGGAGCCCUUUCAGUUCAAGAGGGGCGCUGACGCCCGGGGCAGAGUGAUGAUGGGUGUCCCCUGGCGGCGCCAUUCCGGUUUACUGGUAACCCGGAGCCGGCAAGUCCUUUGUUGCCUGGGCUGGUUCUCAAGCUCACAUGAUGUAAUUCCCCCCAGAGGGCACCUACCAGU